rnacentral:rRNA from 1 species
UACAGAGGUGGCAAGCGUUGUUCGGAAUUACUGGGCGUAAAGGGCGCGUAGGCGCCUGCUAAGUCGGACGUGAAAUCCCUCGGCUCAACCGGGGAACUGCGUCCGAUACUGGCGAGGCUUGAAUCCGGGAGAGGGAUGUGGAAUUCCAGGUGUAGCGGUGAAAUGCGUAGAUAUCGGGAGGAACACCUGUGGCGAAGGCGGCCAUCUGGACGAUAACUGACGCUGAGGCACGAAAGCGUGGGGAGCAAACAGG